rnacentral:rRNA from 2 species
GCGCGCGCAGGCGGUUCCUUAAGUCUGAUGUGAAAGCCCACGGCUCAACCGUGGAGGGUCAUUGGAAACUGGGGAACUUGAGUGCAGAAGAGGAGAGCGGAAUUCCACGUGUAGCGGUGAAAUGCGUAGAGAUGUGGAGGAACACCAGUGGCGAAGGCGGCUCUCUGGUCUGUAACUGACGCUGAGGCGCGAAAGCGUGGGGAGCGAACAGGAUUAGAUACCCUGGUAGUCCACGCCGUACACGAUGAGUGCUAAGUGUUAGAGGGUUUCCGCCCUUUAGUGCUGCAGCUAACGCAUUAAGCACUCCGCCUGGGGAGUACGGUCGCAAGACUGAAACUCANAGGAAUUGACGGGGACCCGCACAAGCGGUGGAGCAUGUGGUUUAAUUCGAAGCAACGCGAAGAACCUUACCAGGUCUUGACAUCCUCUGCUACUUCUAGAGAUAG